UACAGAGGUCCCAAGCGUUGUUCGGAUUUACUGGGCGUAAAGGGUGCGUAGGUGGCGGGGUAAGUCUGGUGUGAAAGCUUCGAGCUCAACUCGGAAAAGCAUUGGAAACUAUCCCGCUGGAGGGUCGGAGGGGAGACUGGAAUUCUCGGUGUAGCAGUGAAAUGCGUAGAUAUCGAGAGGAACACCAGUGGCGAAGGCGAGUCUCUGGACGACUCCUGACACUGAGGCACGAAAGCUAGGGGAGCAAACGGG
rnacentral:rRNA from 1 species